rnacentral:rRNA from 1 species
UGGCUCAGAACGAACGCUGGCGGCAUGGAUUAGGCAUGCAAGUCGAACGGUGUAGCAAUACACAGUGGCGGAAGGGUGAGGAACACGUGAAUAAUCUGACCCUCAAGUUGGGAAUAACUUUCCGAAAGGAAAGCUAAUACCGAAUGUGGUUGUUUUAUCGCAUGAUAGGACAACUAAAGAUUUAUCGCUUGAGGAUGAGUUCGCGUCCCAUUAGCUAGUUGGCGGGUAACGGCCCACCAAGGCAGAGAUGGGUAGCUGGUCUGAGAGGAUGAUCAGCCACACUGGGACUGAGACACUGCCCAGACUCCUACGGGAGGCUGCAGUCGAGAAUCUUUUGCAAUGCGCGAAAGCGUGAACCAAAGCAAUGCCGCGUGCCGGAUGAAGGUCUUCGGAUUGUAAACGGCUGUCACUCGGGACGAAAAAUGACGGUACCGAGGGAGGAAGCCACGGCUAACUACGUGCCAGCCGCAGC